GCGCCCGUAGCUCAGCUGGAUAGAGCGACAGCCUCCGGAGCUGUAGGCCGCAGGUUCGAAUCCUGCCGGGCGUACCA
rnacentral:tRNA from 2 species